UACGGGGGGGGCAAGCGUUGUUCGGAAUUACUGGGCGUAAAGGGUCUGUAGGUGGCCAACUAAGUCAGACGUGAAAUCCCUCAGCUUAACUGGGGAACUGCGUCUGAUACUGGUUGGCUUGAGUGCAGGAGAGGAAUGCGGAAUUCCAGGUGUAGCGGUGAAAUGCGUAGAUAUCUGGAGGAACACCGGUGGCGAAGGCGGAUCUCUGGGCCGAGUACUGACGCUGAGGAGCGAAAGCGUGGGGAGCGAACGAGG
rnacentral:rRNA from 1 species